UACGUAGGGUGCAAGCGUUGUCCGGAAUUAUUGGGCGUAAAGAGCUCGUAGGCGGUCUGUCGCGUCUGCUGUGAAAACUCAGGGCUUAACCCUGAGCUUGCAGUGGGUACGGGCAGACUAGAGUGCGGUAGGGGAGACUGGAAUUCCUGGUGUAGCGGUGAAAUGCGCAGAUAUCAGGAGGAACACCGGUGGCGAAGGCGGGUCUCUGGGCCGUAACUGACGCUGAUGCGCGAAAGCGUGGGGAGCAAACAGG
rnacentral:rRNA from 1 species